rnacentral:rRNA from 1 species
UAGACUGCUAAUACCGCAUAAGACCACAGCACCGCAUGGUGCAGGGGUAAAAACUACCGGUGGUACAGGAUGGACCGCGUCUGAUUAGCUGGUUGGUGAGGUAACGGCUCACCAAGGCGACGAUCAGUAGCCGGCUUGAGAGAGUGAACGGCCACAUUGGGACUGAGACACGGCCCAAACUCCUACGGGAGGCAGCAUG